UCUCCUUUCCUCAUUCCCACUGUCUACUAAGUAGGGGAAGCUCCCUCCAAAGGUGCCUUCAAGCUUCUUCGCCCUCAUUUUCCUAUCGAAGUGUCCCUCCUAAAAAAGGUGUUUCAAUUUUGCUUCAUCGGAACAUAGGCAAUUCAGCAAACAGAAAUCUGUGAUAUCUAGACCAUGAAUUCCAGGAGGUUGCUCCAAUUGCAAUUUAAAAUUGAGUUUUUGUUUUUUUAAACAUUUGAAUACUUGCUUAUCUGAUCCAGCUGAUCUAGAUUAAGUAAUUGAAUCUCUAUAUGGAUUAAUGUCGAUUGAUUUGCUGUUAAUUUGGAGAAAAACGAUUUUCUGGUUCUAAUUUGAACAUUUUAAUUUUCCCUAGAUUUGUUCUGUUUAGUUGUUAUUAUUACAACAUCCUGAAUUUUAUUUUUAUCUUUUUAUGUUCUGUCUGUCUUAGGCACCUUGGGCUCUUCCACUCUAGAUUCAGCUUAGUUGUUAUUGCUUCAUAUGUUAGUUUUUUUUCUAGUGGAAAUUAAUAAGUUUGUUAAAGUUUGCUUCCUAAUUAUGUUUCAUUAUAUUUUAACUAUCAUUCAUAUGCGAGUUAAUUAAAUGUCAGUCCUCUGUAUUUCAGAGAAGUAUAUUUUACUACUUAAACUAUAUCUAAAUCUGUCUUCACAAAUAUCACAUUGCUAUGUAAAAGUUCAGCUUUCUGAAGUAUCUGUGCUGGACAAAACGCAAUAAUUGGACGCACUGUGUGUGAAUAUAUUUGUUUUUAUUAUUAAUUAAUUACAUUUAAAAGAUUUGCAAAAAGUCAUAUAGUAUACUUAUUUUGGCCAUAUUAAUUCAUGAUUAAGAAUAAGCUGUUGGGUGUCCUAUUUUAUGAUAAGUUAGUGGGUUUAAGAUGAAAAAUAAGCUCAAUCAUUCUGUGUUACAUGGAUUCUUUAUGAGACUAUAUGAUGCAAAAUAAGGUAAUUACGGUGGUGUUGCACCAAUGGACUGCCUGUCUAUUGAAUAUAUUUUUAUGUCGCUAAACUAGAUCAGUUAACCUUUGUAUGUUGGGUGUGGAGUAGAAUAGCUGUAUUCGGCAUGAUAAAGAAGUUGGUCUUCUGACAGUUCUCUUAUAUUAAUUUGAUAUUUUGCUUCCUUAAUUUAUAUGUGUCAGUACUCAUUUCUCAGGUUAUUCACUUUGACUCCAGUUGGUGUUUUUGUGUAUUCUACUCCAAUGUCGUUUUACUUAGUGCCACUAAUUUUGUUUGAUAAGAUAACUGCAUUGUUUGUGUGGGUAUAUAAAGGCCUACACCCAUCCUUAAUAUUUCUAGAAUAUUCCCUUUGACUUACAAAAAGUAUAUACUCUGGAGCAUCCUAGGUUUUGUGAGAAGAUUUGAACUAAUGAAUUUUAGUGUAAUGCAUAUUGGGUUAUAAGACAGGUAUAGUAAAUUAGGUACCAAUAGUGGGUGAGAGAAAGCAAUCUAGUUGAUUUGGAUGAGCUGGAUGAGAGCUUGAGAAUCUCCUUUGUUUGAGCUAAUCGAUUUCUGGUGUAAUUGGCUGCUUGAGCUUGUCAAAGCUGCACAUAUUUUCUUGAGGUUCUAGUUGUGGCUGAUAUGUUUAUGAACCUAGACAAUGUUCUCUAUUGAUUGUUGUAGAAAAUCUACAGUAACUUCAUGAUCAGGUUGGAAAGGAGCUGUCAGUUAUUUGUUGAAUUGGGCAACUGGUGUUAUGCUGUCAUCUACCAUGAAAACUUUCAUGAUAAACCCUUGAGGAUCGAUCUGGUAUUUUAGUUUUCUUUAGAAUUAGAAUAUGAAAUAUGGGCACUCCAUUUUAGAGUUCAUUGGUCUUUGUUAGAUUUAAGCUCUCAUAAAACAUGUCUCUCAUCACUUUGCAAUAAACCAGUUAGUGCCUGGUCCUUAUCAGCUUAUGCAAAAGCUAUGUUUAAUAUAGCGAGUUGCAAUAAGUAUGUUCUUUGUUUCCAUUUUGAUUUCAUAUGUUACUAUCUAUAAGGUUAUGUUUCACUGCCUUCUAUGUCUUCAAGUUUAUCCGGGUAAUUAUCCUGCUAAAGACAUGUAUCAAGAUUCUGGACAACUAAUUCACUGUUUUUUAUUCAUGUUUUAUUGGAUACACAUAGUUUAUCACUACACCUAAGCCCUUGUGGUGUUGUCUGAUACUUGAGACAUUCUAUCCUCAAUGUUCUUUUGAUGAAAAAAAUCAUGAUAGAAGCCCAUCUUCUCAUGAUGUAAUCCCAGACCAAAGCUCUGAUGGCCUUGGCGCAAGGUUAAAGUGUCAUUAUUAGACAGGUCACGUGCCAUGAACUUGUAAUACAAUACCAUUGUAGAUCACAUUAACACAAAUAUGUUUUGCUAAUGGUCUUCAUACAUGCUUUCUUUUUCAUUCUUGUUAUUUGAUUCUUCACUCAUAGUUAUGUCACAGCAAGAGAUAUACAUUGUUCUUCUAGUCACUAAUUGUGUGUUCUAGCAUUUUUCCCUUGUUUCAUAUUUUACAAAAGCAAACCAUCUUCCUGGUUUGGAAAUUCAAUGCAAGUCAACAUUUUCUUAGAUCUGGUAUGUACAUUUUGUAAAUGCUAUGCAUUUCUUGUCAUUCCUGGAAAAGUUAAAAUCACUUCUUAUUGGUGCAGCUGAGAAUAUUUCUGUACCAUGGCUAUAUGGGAUAAUCUGCAUGCAUCUCUCUUGAAUGUGAUCUUCAUCCUUUAACUGUCCAUCCUCUUAUUUUUACUUUAAAUGCCAUUGGGCGUUGUACAUUUUUCUUUACUGAAUUCAUAAUUUUGUGGUGUGUGAUCUUGCCAUCUGGCAAUACUCUAAUUCCUUUGGUCUACAGAGAUGUCCGCAACAAUAGAGCUGCUCUUUUUGAUGGAAUUGAAGAGGGUGGCAUCAGGGCCUCAUCUUCUUAUUCCCAUGAAAUUGAUGAGCAAGAUAAUGAAAGAGCUGUGGAAGGAUUGCAAGAUCGAGUCAAUCUUCUGAAGAGAUUGUCGGGUGAUAUACAUGAGGAGGUGGAGACUCAUAAUCACAUGCUGGACAGAAUGGGCAAUGACAUGGAUUCAUCCAGGGGUGUCCUAUCAGGAACUAUGGAUCGAUUUAAGAUGGUUUUUGAGACGAAAUCAAGCCGGAGAAUGUUUACCCUUGUGGCUUCCUUUGUUGUCAUAUUCCUUAUUGUAUACUAUCUGACAAGGUAAUCAAUAUAAGUUGAUGAUACUGUUGCUAUUGUCAUGUUAGAACCGGAUCCUUUUAUGUGGUUACUGUAAUCAAUGGUACUUCCUGUUUGUGAGAUAUUCAGGCAUGUUUAUAAACUUUAUAUAAAGAUGUUGAAAUAUGUCGUACACUUGUUAAAUGUAUGGAAUGGGCGUAAAAAGUUCUUUGGUCCACUUUUUCACUUAACAUUAGCCUACUAUGCUUUGGCUGCUUAAUCUUCUUAACCAGAUACUCAGCUACGGAGCUCAGUCAAGCUUAUUAAGUUUUGCUGAGAUGAGUCUUAGGUGAAUCAAUAGUUGUCUGGUUUUCAGAAGAAUAUGAAUAAUUGAAUCGAUUUUGAAUUUUGACUUUCUUUGGAAUGCAUCAUAUACAAGAAAAG
rnacentral:misc_RNA from 1 species